GGAGUACUCCCUCCGUCCCGAUUUAACUGAUAUGUAUUUGUAUAAAUUUUUAUAAAAAUACAUGUCAGUUAUUCUUAUAAAAAUACAUGUCAGUUAAAUCGGGACGGAGGGAGUAGAAU
rnacentral:pre_miRNA from 1 species